UAACAAGGAUUCCCCUAGUAACUGCGAGUGAAGCGGGAAAAGCUCAAAUUUAAAAUCUGGUGGUUUUGCCAUCCGAGUUGUAAUCUGGAGAAGCGUUUUCUGUGCUGGACCGUGUACAAGUCUCUUGGAACAGAGCGUCAUAGAGGGUGAGAAUCCCGUCCAUGACACGGACACCCAGUGCUAUGUGAUACGUUUUCAAAGAGUCGAGUUGUUUGGGAAUGCAGCUCAAAAUGGGUGGUAAGCUCCAUCUAAAGCUAAAUAUUGGCGAGAGACCGAUAGCGAACAAGUACCGUGAGGGAAAGAUGAAAAGCACUUUGGAAAGAGAGUUAAACAGUACGUGAAAUUGUUNNGAAAGGGAAACGCUUGAAGUUAGUCGCGUCUUACUUGACUCAGCCCUUGCUUCGGCUUGGUGUAUUUCAUGUGAGACGGGUCAACAUCGAUUUCGACCGGCAGACAAGGGGAGUAAGAAUGUGGCACUCUUCGGGGUGUGUUAUAGCUUAUUCUCAUAUGUGUCGGUUGGGAUCGAGGACCGCAGCGCGCCCUUGUGGCCGGAGGUUCGCCUCACGUUACGCGCUUAGGAUGUUGGCAUAAUGGCUUUAAGCGACCCGUCUUGAAACACGGACCAAGGAGUCUAACAUGCUCGCGAGUGUUAGGGUGGAAAACCCUUGCGCAGAAUGAAAGUAAAAGUUGGGAACCUCCGCAAGGGGGCGCACCGACGCCCGGCCCAGAAGUUCACGGACGGUGCUGCGGUAGAGCGCGUAUGUUGGGACCCGAAAGAUGGUGAACUAUGCCUGAAUAGGGCGAAGCCAGGGGAAACCCUGUGUGGAGGCUCGUAGCGAUUCUGACGUGCAAAUCGAUCGUCAAAUUUGGG
rnacentral:rRNA from 1 species